rnacentral:rRNA from 1 species
GACGAACGCUGGCGGCGCGCCUAACACAUGCAAGUCGAACGAGCGAGAGAGAGCUUGCUUUCUCGAGCGAGUGGCGAACGGGUGAGUAACGCGUGAGGAACCUGCCUCAAAGAGGGGGACAACAGUUGGAAACGACUGCUAAUACCGCAUAAGCCCACGGGUCGGCAUCGACCAGAGGGAAAAGGAGCAAUCCGCUUUGAGAUGGCCUCGCGUCCGAUUAGCUAGUUGGUGAGGUAACGGCCCACCAAGGCAACGAUCGGUAGCCGGACUGAGAGGUUGAACGGCCACAUUGGGACUGAGACACGGCCCAGACUCCUACGGGAGGCAGCAGUGGGGAAUAUUGCACAAUGGGGGAAACCCUGAUGCAGCGACGCCGCGUGGAGGAAGAAGGUCUUCGGAUUGUAAACUCCUGUUGUUGGGGAAGAUAAUGACGGUACCCAACAAGGAAGUGACGGCUAACUACGUGCCAGCAGCCGCGGUAAAACGUAGGUCACAAGCGUUGUCCGGAAUUACUGGGUGUAAAGGGAGCGCAGGCGGGAAGACAAGUUGGAAGUGAAAUCUAUGGGCUCAACCCAUAAACUGCUUUCAAAACUGUUUUUCUUGAGUAGUGCAGAGGUAGGCGGAAUUCCCGGUGUAGCGGUGGAAUGCGUAGAUAUCGGGAGGAACACCAGUAGCGAAGGCGGCCUACUGGGCACCAACUGACGCUGAGGCUCGAAAGUGUGGGUAGCAAACAGGAUUAGAUACCCUGGUAGUCCACACCGUAAACGAUGAUUACUAGGUGUUGGAGGAUUGACCCCUUCAGUGCCGCAGUUAACACAAUAAGUAAUCCACCUGGGGAGUACGACCGCAAGGUUGAAACUCAAAGGAAUUGACGGGGGCCCGCACAAGCAGUGGAGUAUGUGGUUUAAUUCGACGCAACGCGAAGAACCUUACCAAGUCUUGACAUCCCUUGACAGACAUAGAAAUAUGUAUUCUCUUCGGAGCAAGGAGACAGGUGGUGCAUGGUUGUCGUCAGCUCGUGUCGUGAGAUGUUGGGUUAAGUCCCGCAACGAGCGCAACCCUUAUGGUCAGUUACUACGCAAGAGGACUCUGGCCAGACUGCCGUUGACAAAACGGAGGAAGGUGGGGAUGACGUCAAAUCAUCAUGCCCUUUAUGACUUGGGCUACACACGUACUACAAUGGCGUUAAACAAAGAGAAGCAAGACCGCGAGGUGGAGCAAAACUCAGAAACAACGUCCCAGUUCGGACUGCAGGCUGCAACUCGCCUGCACGAAGUCGGAAUUGCUAGUAAUCGUGGAUCAGCAUGCCACGGUGAAUACGUUCCCGGGCCU